rnacentral:rRNA from 1 species
CCAGCAGCCGCGGUAAUUCCAGCUCCAAUAGCGUAUAUUAAAGUUGUUGCAGUUAAAAAGCUCGUAGUCGAAUUUCUGGGCGGUGGCAUCAUGGCUUCGGUUAUGAUGCGCCUGUCCAUCCGUCAGGGAAGUACGUUCGUCCUUCACUGGGCGGCGUAGGGAACUGACAUUUUACUUUGAAAAAAUUAGAGUGUUUCAGGCAGGCAAUCGCCGGAAUACAUUAGCAUGGAAUAAUGGAAUAGGACUUUAGUCCAUUUUAUUGGUUAUUGGUCUGAAGUAAUGAUUAAUAGGGACAGUUGGGGGCAUUAGUAUUUAAUUGUCAGAGGUGAAAUUCUUGGAUUUAUUAAAGACUAACUAAUGCGA